AGCGGCCCCGAGACGCGCCUGGCGCGGCUGGAAGUAGCAGUGGUCACAACUGAGAGAGCCAAACAUUUCUACAGCCCCCAGGACAUUGCUGUCACCCUCUACAGCGACGCUGAUGAAUGGGAGGUCAGUGCUGGGGCCCCUGGGCUGAGUUCCAUUGAGUUUCCACCAGAAGGACAGAACAGUCCUCCCUACAGCCUAUGGUCUGGCAGCUGGAACAGACAGGCUGGGCUCAAGUCUGUGGUCAGGGCCCUCUGGGCAGAGGCAAUGAAGAAAACAUCUGUCUAGCUUCUGGCCUGCAGGAGGCCCUAGUCUC
rnacentral:sRNA from 1 species